GGCAUGGGCCGGGGGCCCCGGGGCGCGGGCCGCCCGCCUCGCCGCCUGCUGCCGCUCCUGCUGCUGCUCGGCCUGGCGCGUGGCGCGAGCGGAGCGCAGGGCGCCGACGUUUUAGAUGUCUGUGCCACUUGCCAUGAACAUGCUACCUGCAAGCAAACAGAAGGGAUGAAGAUGUGUAUUUGCAAAUACGGAUUUGUGGGCAAUGGGAGGACUCACUGUGUUGAUAAAAACGAGUGCCAGUUUGGAGCCACUGUGGUCUGUGGAAACCACACAUCUUGCCACAACACGCUCGGAGGCUUUUACUGCGUUUGCCUAGAAGGAUACCGAGCCACGAAUAACAACACAACAUUCAUUCCCAAUGAUGGCACCUUUUGCACAGACAUAGAUGAGUGUGAGGUUUCCGGCCGGUGCAGGGAAGGAGGACGUUGUGUGAACACUGACGGAAGUUUCGAGUGCUACUGUAUGGAUGGAUACUUGGCAAAGAGUGGGCCCGAGCCUUUCCACCCGACCAGAGACGCCACGUCAUGCACAGAAAUAGACUGUGGCACCCCUCCUGAGGUCCCAGAUGGCUAUAUCAUAGGAAAUUAUACUUCUAGGAUUGGCAGCCAGGUUCGUUAUGCUUGCAAAGAAGGAUUUUUCAGUGGCCUGGAAGGUACAGUUUCAAGGUGCACAGCCUUGGGCACAUGGGAGUCCCCCAAAUUAAAUUGCCAAGAGAUCAACUGUGGCCAUCCUCCAGAAGUGCCUCAUGCGGUUCUGGUGGGGAAUCACAGCUCCAGGCUGGGCGGUGUGGCUCACUACAUCUGUCAAGAGGGCUUUGAAAGUCCUGGAGGAAAGAUUACUUCCGUCUGCACAGAGAAAGGCACUUGGAGAGAAAGUACUUUGACAUGCACAGAAAUAAUUACAGAAAUUAAUGAUGUAUCAGUGUUUAAUAACAGCUGUGUGAGGUGGCAAAUAAACCGAGGAAGCACAGUCUCCAAGAUUAUCUAUGUGAUAUACAUAAAAGGACAACAGUUACACCCUGUGGAAUCAGUUCACGAGGAGACUGUCAACCUGACCACAGACAGCAGGACCCCAGAAGUGUGCCUGCAUCUGUACCCAGGCACCAACUACACCGUGAGCAUUUCUACUGCUCUUCCCACACGCUCCGUGCCCGCCAUCAUUGGGUUCCAGACAACUGAAGAUGAUCUUUCAGAAGAUGAUGGAACUUUCAAUAUUUCAGUAUUCAGUGAAGCUUGUUUGAAACUGAACAGACUCUCUAGGAAAGUUGGAUCAGAACAAACGUACCAAUUUAAAGUUCUGGGUCAAAAGUGGUAUCUGAAUAAUUUUUACCAUGCCGCGUCAUUUAACUUCACAACGAGGGAACAAGCUCCGGUAGUGUGUUUAGACCUGCACCCAGCAGCAGAUUACACAGUGACUAUCACUCUACUGGGACCUUCUGAGCAGCACUCGGCGGAAAUAACAAUGACAACCACACCAGUAAAACAGAUCAUCGGUAACCUUUCAAUAUUUAAUGAAACCUGCUUGAGAUGGAGAAGUACAAAGACAGCUGAUAUAGAGGAGAUGUAUUCAUUCCACAUUCAGGGCCAGAGAUGGUAUCAGAAGGAAUUUGCCCAGGAACUGAUCUUCAACAUCACCACCAGCAGCCAGGCUCCCGAGAUGUGCUUGGACCUGCAUCCGGGCACCAACUACAGUGUCCGCAUACAGGCUUUGUCUUCUGAACUUCCUGUGGUCCUCUCCCUGACAACCCAGAUAACAGAGCCUCCCCUUCCAGAAGUAGACUUUGUUACAGUGCACGGAAGGCCUCUACCACAUCUGAGACUGAGGAAAGCCAAGGAGGAAAAUGGACCUAUCAGUUCUUACCAGGUGUUGGUGCUUCCUCUGGCCCUCCAAAGCACUUUUUUUUGUGAUUCUGAAGGGGCUACCUCAUUCUUUAGCAACACCUCUCAUGCCGAAGGAUAUGUGGCUGCAGAACUACUGGCCAAAGAUGUUCCAGAUGAUGCCAUGGAGAUAUCUAUUGGAGACAGGCUGUACUAUGGGAAAUACUAUAAUGCGCCUUUGAGAAAAGGGAAUGAUUACUGCAUUAUAUUACGAAUCACAAGUGAAUGGAAUAAGGUGAGAAGAUGCUCCUGUGCAGUUUGGGCUCAAGUGAAAGAUUCGUCAUUCAUGCUGCAGCAGAUGGUGGGCGUUGGGCUGGGCUCCGUGGCUGUUGUGAUUAUCCUCGCAUUCCUGUCCUUCUCAGCCGUGUGAUUGCAGACGGGCACUACCUGUGGAGGAUGCACGGUGCUGGGGCAGAUGUUAUGACUGCUUCUCAGGUGCCUGCCUAGACAGGCCCCAUGUGGCUUCCACCAGAUACAUUUUUUGAUUGUCUGUAUGCACGUCCCUGUGCUGGGGACACAAGAAUAAAUGAGACAGAUAUGGCCCUUCUCAUACUCAGCUCUCAGUCUGGUUGGGGAGAUGGAAGAAGCAAUUGCAAUAUGGUUGCCAUGGUGAGGAAGGUAAACUGAGCAACACAGCAAUGCAUUUCCCCAAAGAUCGGAGUGAUGCCAGUUCUUUUGAGAGGCAAACGCAGAUAAAGUCAGCGACGUUUUGGAUAACUACAGCUGGGAUCACCCUGCUUGCAAGAUUUAGUAUAAUCUAAAAUCCCCGUUUUAUAAUGUGGAGAAAUCAAUGAUCUUCCCCAAGGUUUUGCAACAGUUUGAGGAACGUACUCGCUCAUGGUUACCUCUGAUCUGGUUCAUGUUUCUGCUGAAUAAGUUUGGAUUAUGGACCAUCCGUGACCACACGUGGAGCUGGAUAUGAACACAGCUGCUGUCCUCUACUCCCCACAGGCUUUUUAAGGAGCAGAUAAUGCCAAGAACCUGGAGAGAGGGGGGAACUUACAUCAAAACAAUAGUAACAACUCAACUUUGAAUAUUGGGUGGCCUCUUAAAAGCCUGUUUAGCUCUCCCACCCCUGGGGAUUUUACUGUAUCGCUGGCUUCUGCUUUUUCUCUCUUCUUCCUUGUUUCUGUCUUCUCCUCAGAGGAGUCUAAAAUUACUCUUUUGGUUCUCAUAAAGCAAUUGAACUCCCUCUUUACACUUCAUGACUAGGCUUUGUGGCCCGAGAACCAACUUGAUAUAUCUAACCGGACCAUGAAAUGUUUUUAAAACAAACAGUGCUCCCUCCCUAAGAUAAAUCUUGGGGUCAUUUGUUUUGAUCAUUAAAAAAAAAAUCUAUGUGAGACUUUGCCCUGUCUGCCAUAGUAAAAUAAAGAUUUGAUAACUUUAGACAAGUUUCUCACUCUUGAGUCAUAGCAUGAGUCCUUUUGCCCUGCUCUUGCGGCCCUUCCCACAGGCAGGAGAGGCUGUCCCUAAGUUUUCUUGUUUAGGGCAUGUCUGUUGUGCUCUAAGCAGGUCAGCAUUAUGACUAGAACUUGUACAUGAAGUAUAAGUGGGAGGUGAGAGUGGUGGG